GACAGAGGUGCCAAGCGUUAGGCGGAAUCACUGGGCUUAAAGCGUGUGUAGGUGGAACGUUAAGUGCCUUGUGAAAUCCCACGGCUCAACCGUGGAAUGGCUGGGCAUACUGGCGUUCUUGAGCCAUCCAGGGGCGACUGGAACAAACGGUGGAGCGGUGAAAUGCGUAGAUAUCGUUUGGAACGCCUGCGGUGAAAACGGGUCGCUGGGGAUGAGCUGACACUGAGACACGAAAGCCAGGGGUG
rnacentral:rRNA from 1 species